UCCGCCGGUGCCCGCGCUCGCGCGGCGCGCGCUCUGCCGGCUGGUGCGGCUGCGGGCGGAGCAGGGAUGCGCCCCGGCUGCGGGAGCGCGGCGCGGAGCGGCGGCAGCCCGGGCGGCCGAGGGCGGCGAGCACGGCCGGUUUUUCAAUACAGAGUUCACACUGGUUUCAUACGUGAUGAGGAGACAAGCAAACAGUGGAGAACAGCAGUAGAUACAAUGCAGAUAAGCAAGAAAGAAAAAUUAAGAACGAAAAGAUGGAGCUGUUUCUGAAAAAUCAGAUGGCACACUUGGAAAUAAUACCAUAAAGGCUCAUUAUUUUAAACAACUAUUGAUUACAUCCUGGGGAUUUUCACCAAUUCCACUUGAUGCUGCUUUUAAAAUGUUCAUUUGGCCUGUUAAUGAUUAAAGAUUUGGAUUUCCCUCUUUACACUAAAUAAGGCUGAUUUCAAAAACAUACAAAAUCUUGGAGAGGGGGAGUGGCAAGAAGGAAACAAACUGAAACAACCUUAGCUUACAUUACCAAAAGCAAAAUUCCCUGUUCAAGUUCAAACUAAAUGGCAUUUUGGAGGUGAGAACAGAAAAGUAAUCACAUCAAGCAAGUUGUGUGAAUGAUGACUUGAAGAGGAGAAUCCUCAAGGCAAGAGAUGCAACAAACCAGCUACUUGCAUUAAUUCAAAGAAAAAAUAGAAAAUGUUGACAAUGUGUUUAUAUAGUGUUUUGAAAGACAGGAAAUUAAAUCUGUAGGAUUAAAUAGGAUUUAUCAGUUAUCAGAGGAAUAUGUCUUUUGCUUUUCUCCCUUUCCAACUUCUGCACCAUCAAGUUCAACAUUAUCAGUAGGUCAUUUCGUACCUUCUCGAAGGUAUUAACAGCAGUCCAGAUGCCACAAGCAUGGCAAAAGUCACUCAGCUGUGCCUAGUCCCUCUGCUACUGAAUAAUCUAUUGUAAUCAAGGCAUUAAAGAAUAAAUCUAAUACAGUUUAGGAGAUACACUGAAAUUUCAGUAAUGUAUGCAUAUGGUGGGGUUAGCCCUCUGCAGAGGACCACAGGUCUGCCAUGAAAUUGCUCUUCAGCUUGCUAGGCAAACAACCUGCACUGAUCUUCAGCUCAAUAUAAUGGUGAUGCCCCCUCCACUGCAGAGCAAAGAGGUAACAUUUCACUUUACUCAAGUGUCAUAUCUCCUAGAAAGAAACUACAUUUCCUUGGUUUAUUGAUACAAGUUCAGAGGAUACUGACAUCCAUACAUACAAAACAAGCACUGAAUACUGUUAUAUAUUAAGGAGAACUGAAGAAAUGUGCAAGACAGAACUCCAGAUAGGUCCACUGAGUAUUCAUCUAUGAUAACCACUGGUGGUAUACUGAAAUAUACCAUGCUAAUGGCCAGCUUGCUCCUUUCCUUGCUGUACCAAAGCACUCAUAGGUAACUUUCAACUGCUUGGUAGCUCACAUGGGAACUUUUGAUCUCUCUGGUCAGGCUAAUACUGCAAUCUAUUUUGGAUCAAUUCUCUGUUGGUUUUGUCCCUUUGUUUCAGACACUGUUCAGGUUUUGGCUACGACACAGCCAGUUUUCUUCAUAGCAAUCUGUGUUCUGAACCUGUGGCCGGAGCAGUGUUAACAGCAUAAGGCCAUCCCUGUUCAUACAUUACAAUUUCAUUGCAGAUAUGUGGAUGACUUUCAUAAUCAAUUUUCAAAAAAAAGGAGGCUUAGGAUCUAGAAGGUAUAUUUUCAAAGCUUAAAACAAGAGGUACACUCAAUAAUCCUUUUAAUGAAUAACAGGAUAAGCAAUGCUGCAGUGCCGGGUUGCUUUGGCCCGACUGGCUCCUGACCCCGUGGGCGAGAGCAGCUGCGCCCAGAGCGCUGUCGAACCCGGGGUGCGGCUGCAGGGCACAGCUGCUCUACGGCACGGGUCAACUGCACUGGGGAGAGGACUGCACCGAGGGCAGGGACAAAGAACAGGGAAAGGUCUUCUCUAUGUUUCCCAAAGGUGUUUACUCCCCAGACCCUGAACAAAGCCAUACAUCAACUUAUAUAUGGGGGAGGUCCCAGGGGAAGAUACACUCUUUAACCAACUGGGAGAAACUGGGGGUAGGACACAAGGCAGGGAAUACGACGUUUAAACCAAGAGGGGAGUAUAGCUGAGGAGAACAACUUAAACCAAUGGGGCUUUGAAGGAUACAAAACUGAUAGGAAGUUUCCAGGAAAAGGGACAGGCAUAGGAAGAGAUUGACAUUCCAUGGGAGGAGGAACAGGGAACAAAAGGGCAGGUCUUCGGAGAGAUGGACAACUAGGGCAAAACCAACAACACAGGCGGGGAAAGGAACAACCCAUUCGUAAUCAAAUACGCUAUAACAAUACAAAACGGGGGAUGUUAUAAAACUGACUACUGGGACCAAAUUACAAUCAAAAACACACACCACAACAAGUACACCACAAGUGGAUUUCAAAAGGUUCCGCAUUUAGAAUAAGUUUAGGAAACAGAUAAGAUGAAAUUUUAAAAAACAACAACCAAAAAAAAAAAACCUAUAACUCAUCAACCAGUGACUACUCCUCUCGAUUCAUUUACAUACAGCAUUCUGCCAGUCAGUAGCAGUCAAUAAGCAUUACCACCUUUCCCCAUCCUUCACCUUAAAAGGGACUAUUCUAUAUCCCCAUCUAUUCAAGCAUAAGCUGAUCAACAGUACUUUUAUGUCUUUGUUACAAUUACUGCUGCUCAAAAGUGGCAAUUCUAGGACAGAUUUUAUUGUUUUGGCUACUAAUGUAAAAAAGUUCCUGUCCUGCUGAAUCUUUUAUUUCUUCUUCCCAUGUUUUAAAAAGCGCCCUGAUAUCUCUGUAAAAGAUACACCACAGCAUAACUGCGUCCUCUGCAUUAAAGACAGGAUACUGAAAUGCAGGAUCAGCAUUUCUCUGACAGUGCCUGCACAUCUUCUGGUUGCCAAGAUACAAAAUACAUUCAAAUUUUUGAGGUUUUCAUAUAUGAAAACAUAUUUUGGGGAAAAUGUCCAAACAAAUAUUGUGAAUGAGAGAUUUGCUUUGUUUACAGAACAGAUACUUCAUCAUGAGGAUCAAACUUACCCACUUCAUCUCUCACUAGUAAUCUUAAAAACUCUGCAUGUUUAGUAGUUCCCUGAGGAUUUGCCUUUCUUAUCUCUUUAAUCUUGACAAAAGGACCAUAAAAUGUGCCAGGAAAAGGCAGCUUUCACAGUUACUAAUCUAGAUGACCUUAUUAGGAAACAAAUGAAAAGCAUGAGUUCAUUACAAACAUGCUGUAAAGCAGUAUCCAUACAAAAUUGAUGUUGGCCCAAGUAAAAUGGCACUAAAGAAAGAUUAUGUUAAAAAGACAUCAACAAUGCAUCAGCUCAGACAUAAACUGGCUGACAUUCCUUCCAGGUGUAUUGCGUAUCCAUCACACCCAGAUGAAUAUCUUCAGGUUAAGAUAUGUUGAACUACUAACUGUUUUCACUUAUGAGAAUAUGCAUUGGCAAUAUAUGAUAAAGCAUUUGAAGCAAAGUAAUGGAAGCAAAAAUUGGACAUGUGACUAAUUCACUUUUUACUUCAUCUUGAAUCAAAUACCACGGUGAAAUUAAUUGCACAGGACUACUGCUGCUGUUAAUUUUCAGCAAAUAAUGAGCAUUUUUACCACCACCAGUAAAUAUUUCAAAAUCCAAACACGAGGAAAAUCAAAUAUUUCCUUGCCCACAUAAUAGGAAUCCUAUUUAAAGAAAAAUUCCAGAAAAAGACAAAAGAUAAUUUGAAGCAAUUCAACACUGAAACUCAAAGACACAUUCUAGAUGCAGUAAUAACUGUGCAUCCUUCAACCUUUUCAGUUUUAUGGAUAAAAAUGCAACUGAAUGUUUUUAAUUGUUUGCAGAUGGCUAUUUUUAUUCCGGUAAAGCUAGCACAAAAAUGGUCUAACAGAACUUGGAUCUUUAGUUCAUUCCAUAACUUCCUGUGCAUUGCAAAGGCACAAGACCAUAACUUAUGAAUAUUCAUGACAGGUAUGAAACAAACCUUAAUCAAUGCUCUUAAUGUCUCCUACUACGUAAGCUCAAAGAUGAAGUCUAAGCCUAAGUAUUCUGGACAGUGCAAGACAAUGAUACUGAAACUCAAGAAUAAAUUACAUUUAGAUGAAUGCUUACCUGUUGCUAUUGGACAUGAAAUGAGUACACAGAAGCCUGGCAAGCUUAAAAGAUGAAAAAAGCUAAUUUUAUUUUUGACCUCGCAAUAUAUAGAAUUCUAAAAGUAACACUGGAUUGGAGGAUGAAAUUGCUACCUCUCCAACCACACUGGUCAAACCAACAGUCUAUUAAUUCUCUCUUCCAACAAAGAAGAACGCAAACCAAUUAUUAUGUGAACAGUGUGUGAGAACUCGAGUAGAAAUAUGUAAACAUCAGAAGGUACAGAAAACUUCUAAAAGAGCUUUAAAACUUUCAAAGGAACUAUAAAAGAAAACUUAACACUUUUAAAAAUCAGGGGAACACCUACACACUUACAGAAAGAUCUUGAUGAAAUACUAUCAAAAGAUAUAUCCUUCCCUAGAGUAUCAACAAAUGUUCCAGGAAAUUAAUUUUUUUUUAAUAGACACUUUUCAAAGUUUGACAAUUCCAUUUUUAUUCUUGGUGCAUAAGGUGUCAUUCUGAAUGCACAGCAUAUCUACAGCAUCACUGGAUGAAAUAACCAAAGGGCAGAGCAAUGACAAACUCAUAGAACUGCCCAUGCAGAACCCUGCUUCAAACUCCCACCCGGGCAGCAAACAUUGUACAGUAUCCAAGCAUGGGCAUUAUAAUUCACCAAUAAUACCCUCAGUUUCAAGCUCCCUUUAAUUAAUAAUUAAGUAAUAUGCGAUGCCCAACAUUGCUUAUUCCCAGUUUGCUGUGAGAGUUACAUUGUUUCAAUCACUAUUCGAAGCACUGAAGCUACCAAGUUCUUCAGAGCCCAUGAGCCCUGCUUGCCAUUAUAUGGAAAUAGCUUAAGCACAUAUCCCAGGUCUAAUAUUUCUGAAUAAGAAAACAGAAUCUGACAUAUUAGUUUUAAAGCAACUGACUAUAACUAUAGAAUUAAAACUUCAUCAGGAAAUAAGCAGCGAAGGAAAGCAGUUCCCAUUACGGUGACUGAACAUGCUGAAGGUAGUACUGAGACACUUCUGUGAGCAGCGAGAUUAGGAGUGGGGAGCAUUUAACAGCUUCCAUCUGUCUUGACUUGCCUGAUUACCUGGAUAUAAAAAUUUUGGUUUGCAUUUUCUAAUUUCAAACUUGCAAUGCUACUUCAUGUCUCUAGAGCCAAAAUUCCUGGUUUGAAAAAAUGGAUUAUUAAUUGUUCAGAAAGAAGUUGGAAACUAAGUUCUGCACAUGCUCCUUGACCCAAAAAAGUUGAGUUAAUAUCACACAACUCACUAAUGGAACAGUGACUCAGAACAAAAGUAUUGAUUAAAACACUUGAUAAUGUUGUGGUUAACCAUAAUGUAUGUACGUUCUACCUCAGGGUAGCUUCUGGCAGAUGCAUGGUCAUGUUUACUGGAAAGGUUUAAUUUUUUCACAUUUAGGUAUAUUUCUAUUUUUGCAAACAGACAGGAAAAGAGAUGAAGGGAAUUUCUUUUUAAAUCUAAAGGAACAUAAACUAGACAACUAGACUUGUUGUAGAAUACAUUCAGAGGAAUGUAAUCUGCAAGUCAUUUAAAUGCACACUAGCUAAUACCUGCAAUGAUAUAAUCAUCUUUUCCUUUACUUCAGAGCUAUAACACUAAGCUUCAUUUUACUGCACAUGUAUGCAGUUAAAAAUACCAGGUUUUGUACACAUUAUUAGAGAAAAGGUCUUUCUUUUCAUUCCAUAUGUAGCACCAAGGUACUCAUUUGAAAGUUCUGCUUGUCUAAAGAGGGCACCUGGAGCCUUAUAUUGUCAUUAUAAUGUCAUUCCAUAGCACAUCUAUUGUACCCCUAGCUACAUGUUAGUGCACAAGUAGGUCAUGCAAAUCAGUGGUUCCAAAGAUCAAACUUUCCCCACUGCCUGAGAGGAUUAUGUCAGUCGAGGUGCUAAGAAUCAGCCAUUAUAUAUCUAUUCUAUAAAAAUGUAAACCACAGAGAACUUCACUUUCAGUGUGUACUUCAGGAGCAACAUAGCAUUUAGAAGAAUAAAACAAUUAAGCAAAAAGGCACCAACACAAGGGACUGGAUGUUUCAGUUUCUCAACGUGCUAUAAUUUUUGUGUAUUUCCUACUUUUAUCAAUCAUCAAGUUUGUCUAAAUGCACACAGAUUAGAAAUUUCAUUAUUCAAAAAUCUGUACCACUGAACCACAAAGGCAUUUGCUUCUCUGUCAAAGAUAGCAGAAGGUAUUUGAAAAAGACUAUUAGCUGACUAAGCAAACACGACAAAGGCAUAGUAAAGUUACGGGGAAGCUGGUCAAGACUGUCUAACUCCAUAUCACAGGAUGGACCAUAAUUCAAAGGCCUGGAUUAAAUGAUGUAAGAGUGUGGUGACAGGUUUGUAGUAGUAUCUUUCUAUAUCCCAAUCUGAAUAUAUACCCAUAUAUCUUUAUUCUUAAUGAAUACAAAACAUUUGUAAACUAGUUUGGCAUUUUCCUAGUGCAAAUAUUUCAGCACUGAUUCAGCAUUCCUCAAAUUUGUCACCUCUGAUAUUUUCUAUAGAACAAUGGAUAGACAGAAACCUCAGAAUUUUAGUAAUCCUAUUACUAACAAAGCUGUAGCAUUCAUAGAUUCUUAGUAUUUUAUAAUCCCAUUCAGGUAUGUAACUGUUGAUUAUUUUACUGUAAUGAAGCUAUGGAAUGACAGAUACUUUUACAGAUAAUAAGAAUUAAUAAUCUCUGAAUGAGAUUUGCAACACAUUCAGACUUAGUAAUGCUUAGCCUAAAAAUAAUCAACAAAAUAUUGAUCCAUACCUAAAUGUCAUUGGAAAUUUCAGAGAAGCCUUUGUAGACCAAAAGCACAAUCUGCCUUUUGCACCUGAAAUCGCAGGCAGGGUUGGAAAAAAAUAACACAAGAGUGUAUUUUUCAUCUUGCUGUGAAAGCACCAGCACGUUUAAAACAUCACUCAUAACAGUAAAUCAAAAUCUCAGUAAUGCUUGUUGAAACUGGCUUUUAAGAUAGAGAGUGAACAAAAAGACCUUUAAAAAUCAGUUUUAGGGAAUAUAUAAAUUGUCUGAACACUGCCAUGGACAAUCAGUUUUAACAGCAUACGUCCAACAGCCUAGUUACUUGCUGUUCUGGAAGUCUGCCAAAGAAAGAGAUCCAUCCAGAAAUUAUGAGGGGAAAAAAAUCAAGAGAAGCUGCGUAACAGCACAUAACUUACAUACAUCUCUAGCUAUUCGAAAGCUUUUCAUCCAGCAUACAUCAUCAUAAAACCAGUGCUCCUGACCCAUCUUCAUUUUAAUAGAGAAACACCUUUUUUAAAAAGCCUGGAAUUCCCUAUUGACAAACAGUGUGGUAACACAUACAAGAUUUAUCCUACUGUGCAUCUUUCCCAAGGAGCAUUUGAAAAUUACUAAUGACACGAGCAUCACUGAGCCACUGAAUGAUGUAAGACCACCUACAUUUUGUAGACAGAGAAGAGCAGAUGCCAUAAACCAAAUCAGCAGGAAACCUUACAGCACAAUUAAUAUCUCUGAAAAUAUACUCCUGUUUUAGCUUCUAGGAAAUGUUUCACUGGAAGAUAAAAUUUAUUAAAGCAGCAACUACGUCCAUUUUUUCAGAUUAUUAUUUCUGACAGACACUGGCUACCAAGGGUUCAGUUCACUGUUUAAGACCUCUGGUGACACCAGCUUGAGCAGCACCUAUGUGGAUUCUUUCUAAAUAAAGCUGUGUGUGCCCCAAGAAAGCCUGGUCUGGGUGUGUGCCAAAGAGCAGGGUUUUGGUUCAGCCACUAAGAGAAAAUCUUCAAUACCUAACAGCAGCAGGCCAUGACACUACUUCAGAUGCUCAGCCCAGAGCCCACAAACCCAGCAUGGGGCUGGCAGGCAGCUCCACUCUAAUGGCUCUCACAAGUCAGUCUCCUCUGUUCCUACUCGAGGCAGCUUUGCUGCCUCACACCACGAGCUGCAGCCUGAUGGCUUCUGCCCAGAAGCAGCGAAGUGAGGAAGCGGCGAAGGCAGGCCCGGCCGCGGGGCGCACAGUGGGGUGCAGGGGGGUACAGCAGCUCAGCCACGCUCACUGCCCGGCCUGCCCUGCCCCACUGGCUCAUCCAGCACAGCCGCCUGGGAAUUAACUGCGGUCCAGAAGCGUAUUUUAGCUUUUCCAAAGUGAAACGCAUUACAGACACCCUAAAUCCAGGCCUGUCUCCAAUAUCUCAUGAUAUCCCAGUGCCCACCUGGCCAGUUAAAACUCUUGCACUCUCCAGAGAGAUUUAUGGAUAUGAAACAAAAUGAAGAGGAGUUUUGAAGCCCAUGAGCUUUGUCAUCUAAUAAUGGAGAGCUCUAACUUUUACUUUCAGGACUAUUUAUUUCUUUUCCAUUUAGAAUAGAAAGGAUCAGAUUAAUAUCUCAACCUGUAAGGGCUCAAACACAGAUCUUAGAUCUGCAGAUUUUCUCUGGUGCAGUGCCUCCCAUAUUCCAGCUUGAGACAGACCAUGACCACCACUGUGAAGUGCUGAAAUCACUGCAUGAGCCUGGUGAUGGCAAUUGGGGAUGCCACACUGCACAGCAAUAGACGGAGCCUUUCUUUUUUGGUAGCUGACUACACAUCCCUUUACUGAAUCUACCUGCAUGUCAAAGCCAGGACUGCAAUUAGAGCUGACUGAAGAAUCCUCUGAGUUGCUUGGAAAAUGAGAAUUUAUCAAGAAAUUUAAAAUAUUUUUUGAUGUAUUGUGUAACAGAAACCAGCUUGCCUCUCACAGAACCUAAGCAUUUAGAACUCUCUUCUUCCUUGUUUUCCUUGGCUUUUCUGACAGACUUUUUUUUUUUUUUAAUCUUUUUAAUUUUUGUCGACAUAAAUUUCCAGGAAUAGUGGCAUGUCAAAUUCUAAACUUCUACUUCCUUAAACAUAAUACUUCUAGUACUGUAACCUAUGUUUUUCCUACUACAUCUGAUUUACACAACUCUUGUCACACUUUCUAAAUAGUCAGUGGCUGCAGUCAUCUAAAGACUGCAUUGUAAGUAUCUGCAACAGCAGGAAAAGCAUUGCCAGUAAAAAACAUUCAAGAAUACUCAAGUGUUACUUAAAAAUAACAUUAGUUUCUGGACAGAUGUGAAAGAGCUUACUUUCAUAUUAGUCCAUGUAAGCCUACAUAAUCUCUAACAAUCCAGAAUCUAAAAUACAUGCUUCAUGCAUCACUGCAUACUCAUUUGACCAAAGGUUUGAUAACAUGCUUUGGUGUGCUAUGGAUGACUGAAAUUCUAAAGAAACUAUGUGCUGCAACAAGCUCACAGAAAUGUACAAUUUAUGGUGAGAUUUGACAAAUGCUCUAUACUUUUCUGAGAGCUUUUAUACCACAGGGGAUAGUGUAGUGAAUAUGAGUGGUAAAAUGCCUGCUGAUUUUAAUAAAAUCUAAGUAGUACAAAUGAUGGCUGCAUUGAAUCUCCAACCCUGAUGAGGUACCAGCCCUUCCAGGCACUCUCAUAUCCCAGUAUUCGCUGUACCUCCAGUUGUAAGAGUCCCAUAAAAUGAAAUGUUCAUCGUUUAUUUUUCAUAAGUUUUGCUUUUGACAGUCCAGCUACUCAAGUCUGCAUUAAUUCAGCUCUGUUUUUAUGUAGCAGAUGGUCCAGCAGGACUGACUUCUCAGUCUCCUCUUAAAUCAAAGGUUCAUUUAUAACUGUUCAGUAUGACACCCUUUAGAUGCCAAGCAGACUGCAUAGAGGCACACUUCUCUAAAAAAAGUGGCAAAAUAUCUCAAUAAAUGAAAGAAAUUACUGUGAACUUCCAGGGAAUAGCAGACAUUUUCCAUCUGUACAAACUACUACUGUUGCUAUUUAUAGAAGCUACCUUGAUAUUAAGGACUUCUGAAGGCUGAUACAGUCCAGUUUAGCAGAAGGAUGUGCACUUUCUGCACAGCUUGGAAUCUGGCCCUAAGUUACAACAAAGCUGAAAUGAAUCAGAGCUUCACAAUUUAUAUUUAACAGAAAAAUGACAAGCUGCAAUAUUAAUAAUAAUAAUGUUUGCAAUAUUAAUAGUAACAAAACUUUAAAAUCACAUUAGUUUCUAGAAACACCACCAAAACCCAAAAUUCUAGGAAAAUCAUAGACAUCUCAACGCUAUCUCUUCACCUCUUAUUCUCCCUGACUAGCAUAAGUAAUAUGAAUUACAAAAUACCUGGCUGAAUGAAGCAAUAUUUCCUUUUUAUCAUGACUGUCCAGUGUUAAAGCUGAAUAUAAAACAUUUCAUUACUUUAACACUUACUUUAGGCUUUGAAAAUCAGUGCAUUUAAUAUAAACUUUUGGUGAAAGCUUUAUUUCAUGUCUCAGCAGUAACAAAGUCUAUUAUAAUAACAUGCAUGAGAUCUAAAGGUUCAGCAGAAAGAUGAUUGUAUCUUUUAUAUCCACAGCAGGGAGAUAGCUAUUUCCUCUCCUGUCAGGAUGAUUUAUUCAAUAAAUGAAGAAAAUAUGAAUCUUAAAAUGCAUUGAUUUUUUCCCCCUACAUUUCAAGAAACAGCAGAAAUCUUAGGAAAUUAAGAAAAUUAACUCCAUCAUGGAUAUUACAACACCAGGCAUUUUGGAAGAAUUAACUGAAUUUCUUGAACAAAGAAUACUGCAAAACCUUCUACACUUUGGAUGGUUAAAUCAAGAAAGUCUGUCCUCACUCUUCCCUAUGGCUUUUUGCUCCUUCCCCCAUCUUUCAUUUUUAUCCAUCUUCUUAUUACAGAGAAGUUUAUGAAUUGUUCUGUAUAGACAAGGAUUCAUACAGUUUAUAUACAAAAACAACCUCAAUUUACUUUUGGUACAUUAAUUAGCA